rnacentral:tRNA from 11 species
GACAAGAUGGCCGAGUGGUUAAGGCGUACCGUUCAAGCCGGUAUGGGGAAACCCGCGUGAGUUCGAGUCUCGCUCUUGUCA